rnacentral:rRNA from 1 species
GACGAACGCUGGCGGCGUGCCUAAUACAUGCAAGUAGAACGCUGAAGAGAGGAGCUUGCUCUUCUUGGAUGAGUUGCGAACGGGUGAGUAACGCGUAGGUAACCUGCCUUGUAGCGGGGGAUAACUAUUGGAAACGAUAGCUAAUACCGCAUAACAAUGGAUGACACAUGUCAUUUAUUUGUAAGGGGCAAUUGCUCCACUACAAGAUGGACCUGCGUUGUAUUAGCUAGUAGGUGAGGUAAUGGCUCACCUAGGCGACGAUACAUAGCCGACCUGAGAGGGUGGUCGGCCACACUGGGACUGAGACACGGCCCAGACUCCUACGGGAGGCAGCAGUAGGGAAUCUUCGGCAAGGGGGGCAACCCUGACCGAGCAACGCCGCGUGAGUGAAGAAGGUUUUCGGAUCGUAAAGCUCUGUUGUAAGUCAAGAACGGGUGUGAGAGUGGAAGGUUCACACUGUGACGGUAGCUUACCAGAAAGGGACGGCUAACUACGUG